GUGCUCACUUGACAGCACAUAUAUCUGAAAUUGGAACAAUACAGAGAUUAGCAUCCCCCCCGCGCAAGGAUGACACGCAAAUUCGUGAAGCGUUCCAUAUUUUG
rnacentral:snRNA from 1 species